rnacentral:rRNA from 1 species
GCAAGUCGAGCGCUUCACUUCGGUGAGGAGCGGCGGACGGGUUAGUAACGCGUGGGAACAUACCCUUUUCUACGGAAUAGCCUCGGGAAACGGAGAGUAAUACCUUAUACGCCCUUUGGGGGAAAGAUUUAUCGGAGAAGGAUUAGCCCGCGUUAGAUUAGGUAGUUGGUGGGGUAAUGGCCUACCAAGCCUACGAUCUAUAGCUGGUUUGAGAGGAUGAUC